rnacentral:rRNA from 1 species
AACGUAGGUGGCGAGCGUUAUCCGGAAUUACUGGGCGUAAAGCGUGUGCAGGCGGGCUAGCAAGUGGGGUAUGAAAGCUCCCGGCUCAACCGGGAAGGGUUAUGCCAGACUGCUAGUCUUGAGUGCGAGAGAGGAAAGCGGAAUUCCUGGUGUAGCGGUGAAAUGCGUAGAUAUCAGGAGGAACACCAGCGGUGUAGACGGCUUUCUGGACCAUUGCUGACGCUGAGGCGCGAAAGCGUGGGGAGCGAUCCGG